CCUAUAGGACACUACUGCUCCUCACAGGGAGGACUAGGACCUAUAGGUGGUCCUAUAGGACACUACUGCUCCUCACAGGGAGGACUAGGACCUAUAGGUGGUCCUAUAGGACACUACUGCUCCUCACAGGGAGGACUAGGACCUAUAGGUGGUCCUAUAGGACGACUGCUCCUCUGAUUUGGAUGGAAUUGAGACACUGAUCUCUUACUCAGUUUUCUUUCUUUCUUGUUCUCGCUCUCUCAUUUUCGUUCUGUGUCUGUCGCUCCCUCUUUUCCCCUCUCUGUACCCCCUCAUCCUUCUCACGCUAACCCACUCACUCACACUGCUGGGUAGAAGAAAAAAAACACUGAAGUGAUUCUUGUUUUCACAAAUGAGAAAGAAAAGUUUUCUCUCACUCUCUCAUUGUUACAGUUUAUAAGGAGUCAUAUUUCUGUGAUUUAUCCAAGUGCUCUUUUCUGUAACUAGCUGUUACCAAUAGUGUUGAAGUGGUCCUACUGGAGGGGGGCAGGGCGGUCGUGGUAAACUAUCAAGCUGUUUCUCUGUCAAUGUGUUUGUGUGCUUGGAGAAAAGGUGGGACAACCAAAACUGAAUGUCUGCAUUUUGUGUUUGUAUGUGUGCGUAUGUCAGUGAAGUCGUGUGAGCGCUCAAAUGUAAGCGAGCUUGACGUGCAUUGGUAUCAGUAGAAUAAUUGGCGACAUCACACGAGUUUUUCCGACUCGGAGCUCAAAAACCUACUCUGGAUUUCCAAAAAGCGAUGCAGGAGGGAGUACUACUUUAACUGUAAUUCAGUGAAAUGAACCAGUAUUGAGCUUUUUUUUUUGACUGGGAUCGUUGUGAACAGAACUCAAAGUUGCUACAGAGAAAAUGUAUGAAUGAAUCACUGUACAAGGUGUGUAGGUACGGAUUUUUAAACCCUGUUUUUAAUUCAGGACUUGUCUCAACACAUCUGGUCUUUGAUCGAGACGCACCAGGCAUGUGAUUUACAACGGUCGACUAGCACUUAGUAGCACUUAGCAGACCUCUUUUUACUCGAAUUAUGAGAUUUGUAUGUUUUAUUCUUGUUAUUUUGUUGCUUCGUUUCCUCUUUCAAAUGUCAUAAACGUCUGCUGUACUAUCAAAAAUGGCCGCACAGGUGGUGUUGAGUGGAUCAGUGACGGGGCUCCGUUCUGGCCACAACAUCAGGUGGUGUUGAGUGGAUCAGUGACGGGGCUCCGUUCUGGCCACAACAUCAGGUGGUGUAGAGUGGAUCAGUGACGGGGCUCCGUUCUGGCCACAACAUCAGGUGGUGUAGAGUGGAUCAGUGACGGGGCUCCGUUCUGGCCACAACAUCAGGUGGUGUUGAGUGGAUCAGUGACGGGCUCCGUUCUGGCCACAACAUCAGGUGGUGUUGAGUGGAUCAGUGACGGGGCUCCGUUCUGGCCACAACAUCAGGUGGUGUAGAGUGGAUCAGUGACGGGCUCCGUUCUGGCCACAACAUCAGGUGGUGUAGAGUGGAUCAGUGACGGGGCUCCGUUCUGGCCACAACAUCAGGUGGUGUAGAGUGGAUCAGUGACGGGCUCCGUUCUGGCCACAACAUCAGGUGGUGUAGAGUGGAUCAGUGACGGGGCUCCGUUCUGGCCACAACAUCAGGUGGUGUAGAGUGGAUCAGUGACGGGGCUCCGUUCUGGCCACAACAUCAGGUGGUGUUGAGUGGAUCAGUGACGGGGCUCCGUUCUGGCCACAACAUCAGGUGUGUGUUGAAUGUAGUGAUCACGCCUGCUCCUCUUCGUAUUCUGUCUGACUGCUGACAGUCACUGGUCAACGAGAUCCAAGUUUUUCUCUGUCCUGAUAGUCAUGUGAGCCUUGUGUCCAUUGUGUGGCGUUUGGAAAUUGUUUCUGAGACUAACUAUUAUUGUUUUUUUUGUUUUUGUCUAGUUCUGUUGUUUUCCACCUCACUGUUUCCCUGACCCCUUUUGAAGACAUUGCUACUCAUUUAACAUUCAUAAAUGUAUAAUUCAAUGAAAUAUUUCAAUUUAAA